UCGGGAACUGAACCUGCAAUAUCUCCAAGCUUUUUUCUUGUGAGGAUAAGAGUGAUGACGUCUGAGCUGUUUACAUGUUGGACCUGGCAUUUCUUUUCAGGCCACUGGGUCCCGUGCCACCCCC